rnacentral:lncRNA from 1 species
UGGAUCUUUCCUCCUUUCCUUCUCAAUGGAGACAUUUAUACAUUGACAUUGGCACCGGCAAGCUGUCAUGGAAAAGAGCACAAUCUGGAAUCAAACAUCGAUGCUGAGUUCCCCAGGCAAUCAGGCACAUUGAAUCCAAAGUCCCUCCGAGGACACAGGAUACCUGGAGUUUUUUUCCUUUGGUACAACAUGGAAGGAAGAGGCAGCCACAAUAAAAAGCAAUUACUCUUGCAGAAAUGGGCGGCGGCAAGCUUGCAAGCAGUGAAACCAGCCUGCAGUCUAAGAGGGAUAAUGGAGUAAGGCACAAUGGGGAAAGACAUGAGGAGACAAAUCCAAGAGGAAGAAAAAGGCAAAAUGUGAAGGAUUUGGGGACUAAUUAAAUAUCCAGUGAGAGUUGUAUUUAAUUUUUCCCUUUCCCCCAGGAAGAAAAACAGGAAAAGCCGCCAAUGGGCAACUCUCAGAAGAGGAAAUGCAAAUGAAUAUUAAUUAAAUUUAUUUAUUA